rnacentral:rRNA from 1 species
GACGAACGCUGGCGGCGGGCUGAACACAUGCAAGUCGAACGGAAAGGCCCUGCUUUUGUGGGGUGCUCGAGUGGCGAACGGGUGAGUAACACGUGAGUAACCUGCCCUUGACUUUGGGAUAACUUCAGGAAGCUGGGGCUAAUACCGGAUAGGAGCUCCUGCUGCAUGGUAGGGGUUGGAAAGUUUCGGCGGUUGGGGAUGGACUCGCGGCUUAUCAGCUUGUUGGUGGGGUAGUGGCUUACCAAGGCUUUGACGGGUAGCCGGCCUGAGAGGGUGACCGGCCACAUUGGGACUGAGAUACGGCCCAGACUCCUACGGGAGGCAGCAGUGGGGAAUAUUGCACAAUGGGCGGAAGUCUGAUGCAGCAACGCCGCGUGCGGGAUGACGGCCUUCGGGUUGUAAACCGCUUUCGCCUGUGACGAAGCGUGAGUGACGGUAAUGGGUAAAGAAGCACCGGCUAACUACGUG